rnacentral:lncRNA from 1 species
UUUUUUUUUUUGUUUGGUUUUGUUUGCGAAAUCGUAAUUGUUUUUGUUUUGAAUGGAUUUGUGGUGAUUUGGGAUAGGUUGGUUGUAAAAUGGGGUGUACUUUCUGUGCCACUGGGACUAUGGGGUUUAAGAGCAAUUUGACCUCUGGGGAGAUUGUGGAGCAGUUGGUUCAUGCGUCCCGAAUUUCGCCUAUACGCAAUGUUGUUUUCAUGGUAAGUGCAUUGUAUUUUAGUUGUGUGUUUUCAUAUUGUAUGAAUGUAACUGGAAAUUUUGGAAUUUUGAAUUUGUGUGGUGUCAGGGAAUGGGAGAACCGUUGAAUAACUAUAAUGCAUUAGUGGAAGCGAUUCGUGUCAUGACUGGUUUACCAUUUCAGUUGUCGCCAAAGAGGAUUACUGUGUCAACGGUGAGUAUUGAAAAGUGCAGUUAUGUUUAUCAACUUAUGCUUUUUGUGAACAAGUGUUCAAGGAGGAUCACCUGAGGGACUCUUUAAUAGGGGAAAAUCUGUACAUAAAGUGUUAUCCUAAUAUCACUAUUGAUUGUGCAUUCAAAUUCAGUGUUAUCCUAAUAUCAUAUUCUUGUGCUAUUGUCCAUGAAAAAUGAGAUUUCCUCUAUAUGUAGUAGGCUUUUAGACAUCACCAACAAUACCAUUCCAUUGGUCUUGCUCUUACAAUACGGUAAAGUUGUGUGAUUUUCUCCUGAUGUUCUUUCUCCAUUGUAUAGUCUAGCUAAUCUAUUUCCUUGUUGUUUGUUAUGACGUUUUUCAUGACCAAUAGUAUAUCCAUUAUUAAUAUGGGACACAAUGACUAGAUUAGUUUCCUUUAUAUAUAGCUGGGAUGAUGGGAUCACAUUUCUAGUGAUGCUAACAUGAUUUGGUUGCUCAAUACGAGGGAAUUAAGAUAUGAUCGAUACAUUCCAUGCCCACCUUCCCUAAUUUUCAUCUCAUGUACCACAAACAUGAAUAAUAUCUUAGUAUGCAAUACUCUAAAGUCUUCAGUUGAAGUUAGAUGAAUUUGAGUUGCACUAGUCUUAAUGGAGUGGUUCACGAGUGCUGGAACAUUGUCUAACUAGUGUAUCACUUUUGCAUCUAUUUCUUUUGUAGGUUGGUAUUAUCCAUGCUAUCAACAAGUUCCAUAAUGAUCUACCUGGACUGAAUUUAGCAGUUUCACUGCAUGCACCUGUCCAAGAAAUUCGUUGUCAGAUAAUGCCUGCAGCUCGGGCCUUUCCCUUAGUAAAGCUUAUGGAUUCAUUGCAACAAUAUCAAAAGAACAGGUAAACUUCUGUUUGACCUCAUGUUUUUAUCCACUUUGCUUUCUUUACAGCUAUACCUUAGGUAUCCUUCUUAGAUGUAUUUAGAAUCUUACCAUUUGCCUUUAAUCUUCAGUCAGCAAAAAAUUUUCAUUGAAUACAUAAUGCUUGAUGGAGUGAAUGAUGAAGAGGAACACGCACACCAGCUUGGAAAAUUGUUAGAUACGUUUCAAGUGGUGCGUUCAUAUCCCUCUUUAAGUCAUGUCUCUGUAUCCGUAGAUUCCACAUCAAAAUAACCUUAGACAUUUGUUGCUUUCUGUCAAACAGGUUAUUAAUUUAAUACCCUUUAACCCAAUUGGUAGUCUGAGCAAAUUCAAAACCACUGCCGAAGAGAAAGUAUCUACUUUUCAGAAGAUUCUAAGAGGUACAUAUGGCAUCCGAACAACUGUUCGCAAGGAAAUGGGGCAGGACAUAAGUGGAGCAUGUGGUCAGUUGGUGGUGAACCCCAAUCAGAGGUCAAGUGACAACGCAGUUCCUCCAACUGAUAUAGAAGAUCUUCAGGUCAGAUAGAUCUCUUUUUCCUCCUGAAAUUGAUAAUACCCAGCACUGCUCUGCAGACCAUGAUCACUCCACCUGUAACUUAGGAACUUUGUAUUCAUUCUAUCAUUUUUGUUGUCCGCAGACGCAACAUCUCUGCUGUAAUAUUAUUAUCCGAUCAGUUCUAAAUCUACAUCGGUUUUCCAUUUACCCCUUCAAUCUCUGAGUUUUGUUUUUGUGGAUGUAUGCAUUGUAUAGCGGGACUGAAAGUAAUUAGCAGUUUUGGUUUAUGUCAAACAGGGAUGACUUGAUUUAAACCCCUUUAAUUAGUGUAUUAUGAGUAUAAGAAACAUAUAUUCCCUUUUCUUCUCUCUUUCAUUUCUGAAAUUCCAGGUAUUCAUUUCUUUGAUGUACAUCUUGAAUACUUUUACAUGGAAAUGUCAAAGGUAGAAAUACUGAAAAAGUAUAAUAUGACUGGAAAUUUAUACUGCCAUAUCAUAUGUGCAAGCGACUACACUGCAACUCAGGGAAGGAUGACGGCAUUCUAUCUGAACUAACACGUGCGGAGCAUCUUGACUACUUCUAAAUGUAAAACCACCUGCAACAUCACAUACUACUUUCCAGCUUCUUGAUCAGACCAGUUCAAGGUAUUCAACUUUAUUUUGCUCUAUACAAAGCCGAAGUGUUUACAUUCAUACACAAGCAUGUAAUCGAUUUGUGAAGAGAAUUUUCUCUUGCUCUUCUAAAGCUAUCGUCAAAGUCAUGAAAAUGCAACGAGAAGCGAAUAGUAGAACACUAAUUUUGGUCCUCUUUCUCGCCAUGCUCAUCUGUUCUGGCUCGAUUCACUCGUGCGACUUCGCUAGCUCUCCUUCGCCUUCACCAGUGAGUUGUUCCCACACUCUUCACUAAUCAUACAUUCAACUCUAACAUGGCUCUUUGCCCUGUUCAUUGUUCUGAUACUAGUUUCUUUAUCUGCAGGCCUUAGGGAUGCCAAGACCGCCUGAGCCAUCUAAAGGGAUUUUCAGAAAGAAAAGAAGAGGGUCUUUCCCUUCGAUUUGUUACUCAAAAUGCAACCAGUGCGAGCCUUGUAUGCCAGUUCAAGUAUCAGUCCGGGCAAUGGAAUUGGAAGAAAACGAGUACUAUCCACAAGUCUGGAAAUGUGCUUGUGGUGAUAAUAUAUUUUCCCCCUAGGUAAAUUUUAGUUUUACUGUUGUGCCCGUGAGAAGUUGUCCUGCCCUUUCUCACAGUAACUGGUAACUUUUAUCAGAAUAACCGGCUGGUCUCUUGUGAGUUGUGACAAGUUUCCAUUAGUACAUUAUGUACAUAGAUGUAAGAACCACGUAGUUUGUCCCCGAACCUCGAAUCCAAGCCUCUCAUAGAGUACUGCUAAUCUAUGGGACUAUGGGACUCAAACAUGAUGUGUUUAGUGUGAGUUUCUCCAACAUGAUGUUUGUAAUAUAUGGUGUAAAAUUGACGACCAUACUACAUGUAAAAUUGACUUUGAUCAAGAACAAAUGCAAUUAGCCUAGCUCCAUAUACACGCUAGCUAGCUACACCCUAAUCAUAAUGUGCUGCACCAAACCCCUUCUUCAUUCUCUUUGACACAAAGCCCUCUUGCCUCAAUCAUUUGUCGAGUUACAAAUAAGGUUGAUCGGAUGGAGAACAUAAAAAAAAGCUUUGGCGUAGAGAAAUAUCACAAACAUCAAAAACAUUCAUGGGACGUUUACUAACCCAAAAUGAAAAAUAAUCAUGCCCAGAGAGGGAUGAGAUAAGACAUAAAUGGGGGUGUAGUGAUUUUGGAUGGUUGAUUCCUAAUUCAUCUCCCCUCUUCGUAAUCAAAUUCCUGAGUAUUUAGGAAUUGAUUCCUGAUAAGUGAGAUAUGCAUCAAUUCUGUUUCCUUUAGGUGACACAGGAAUCUGAUUGCCUAAUAAACAUUCCAUUUUAUUAAACGUUCUCAUAAAAUAUGUCACCUUGCAGCCUCCGUAACGGAGCUAAAGUCUCGUGGUACUUACGUUCAAUCGGGAUCACAGCCUCAGUUACCAAUUUGAGGUACUAAAAUCAGCUCGUACUGCGGAUGACUUUCCUAGACGUAUCCGAACAUGAAUAAGUGGCAUAAGAGAAAGGAUUUAUUUUUCUUUAUGCUUUAGGAUUUUUUGUGUACCCUAAUGUUUUAGGAUUUGUGGCGCUCUAUUAUAAAUUAGAGGGAUACUGCUCUGCAAUUCUAAAACUAUCGUCCCCUCUCUAGUCUCUACUCUCAGAGCUGCGCGUGUUCUCCAUCAAACAUCUAUUGCGGUUUCAGCUUCAAAAUGUCAGAAGGUCAGGAGACUGACAAGAACAUUGAGAUAUGGAAGAUUAAGAAGCAGAUCAAAGAACUUGAAGCUGCAAGGGGUAAUGGCACCAGCAUGAUUUCUCUCAUCAUUCCUCCCCGUGAUCAAAUAUCUCGUGUCUCUAAGAUGCUUGGCGAGGAGAUUGGCACUGCCUCAAAUAUCAAGAGUAGAGUGAAUCGUCAAUCUGUUCUAGGGGCGAUCACAUCUGCUCAGGAGCGCCUCAAGCGUUACAAUAAGGUUCCUCCAAAUGGCCUUGCUCUAUUUACAGGAACAAUCGUCACUGAUGAUGGCAAAGAAAGGAAGAUGACAAGGGCUAUAGAGCCUUUUAAGCCUAUUAACGCUUCUCUUUACCUCUGUGAUAACAAGUUCCAUAUUGAAGCUUUGAGUGAGCUCUUGGAAUCUGAUGACAAAUUUGGUUUCAUUGUCAUGGAUGGUAAUGGAACUCUUUUUGGGACACUGAGUGGCAACACAAGAGAAGUGCUUCAUAAGUUUAGCGUCGACCUGCCGAAGAAACAUGGAAGAGGAGGACAAUCUGCUCUUCGUUUCGCUCGUUUGCGAAUGGAGAAGCGUCACAACUAUGUGAGGAAGACAGCUGAGCUUGCGACGCAGUUUUAUAUUAAUACUGCAACUAGCCAGCCUAAUGUUUCAGGGUUGAUACUUGCUGGAUCAGCUGACUUCAAAACUGAGCUUAGUCAGUCGGAUAUGUUUGAUCCUCGUCUGCAGGCCAAGAUUCUGAACGUGGUGGAUGUUGAUUGGGAAAUACUUUGAGGAGAUUAGUCAGGAUAGCGGCAAGUAUGUUUUUGGUGUGGAUGACACACUUAAAGCUUUGGAGAUGGGCGCUGUGGAGACACUUCUUGUGUGGGAAAGUCUUGAUAUCAACAGAUAUGAGCUAAAAAAUGGGAGUACUGGUGAGACUAUUGUGAAGCAUUUGAACAAGGAGCAGGAGAACAAUCAGAGCAGCUUUCGUGAUUCUGAGACCAAUGCAGAAUUAGAGGUGCGGGACAAGAUAUCACUGUUGGAGUGGUUUGCUAAUGAGUACAGGAAGUUUGGUUGCUCUCUUGAGUUUGUGACCAACAAAUCACAAGAGGGGUCACAGUUCUGCCGAGGCUUUGGAGGGACUGGAUGAAUUCUCCGCUACCAGGUUGAUAUGAGGUCUUUUGAUGAGUUGUCUGACGAUGAUGAAGUUUAUGAUGAUUUUGAAUAGCAAUCAAUCAUCUCUUCCCCGGUGCUGGGGCAGCAAGAUGCACGCACAGUUGGGGUUGCUACGCUGCUUCAGAGUUGGUGCUCAAAAGUGUAUCAGGCUUGAUCAAGGAGGCUCCAUUAUCUGAUCCUGAAAAGCUUGAUGAGGUGCUUUCAUCUGGAUCAUUAUCCAAGGGGCUUGACAGGUCGACUACAUGGAAGGAGGACAUUAUGCCAUGAUAAGCUAGCUGCUUCUUUUAGAUCAAGUCCAUUCGAAUAUAUUCAUCAAUGUGUUAAGAACCCCCAGAAGGAUUGUGCAUGUUCUGUUGGUUAAAUAAGUAGUGUUUUAAGUUCUAGUAUUAUGCAUGGUGGUUUUCGUAUGAAUUUAAGCAGCAAGUUACUUCUAGUCUUGCUGCCCUUCUUUUGAACAGUUCUGUUUGUAUUUUUAUAUGUAGUAAUUAAGUUUCCCUAAUUUCGUUUUUUCACUGUUCUUUAUUCUGAUAUUGUUCUUAAUUUAACUCCGAAAAAUUUGCUACAAAUAAAUUCAAGUUCUUGAUCAUAAGUUCAUAACCACCCCUAUGCCCCUUCUGAUGCAAGGGAUAGGACAGUUUUGCAACCUACACUAGCAGCAGCAAUCAAUACAACGCCGUCGGCUGCCUCUUCAAAUAAGUUCCAUCUAGGAGCUUUGCUGCAAAGUGUGUGCAUGCUUGUACAAAUUACAAAAUGGGGAGUUCACUCUUAGGAAUAGUCAGACAUUGAACAGAUGAUUAGAGUUAAACCCGUAUAUUAUGAGCAAAAGAACAAAAUUUCCUCUUUUCUGAUGUACAUGAAUCACUUGUAUACAUUUAGUUGAGCAUGUCAAGGUAGAAUUUGUAAGACAGGAAAAUGAUAAUGUCAUAUGUGCACAUGCUACACUGCUACUGAUCAAGGAAGGUGAUCAGAUUCUGUCUGAACUAAACACGUAUGAAGCAUCUUGACUACUUCUAAAUGUUACAGCGUAAUAGCAAAGUUUAAACCACCCUGCAACAUCACAUACUAGUGAUACUACUUUCCAGCUCCUUGAUCAGACCAGUUCAAAUUCUUCAACUUUAUUUUGCUUUAAACAAAGGCAAAGUGUUUGCAUUCAUACACAAACAUGUAAUGGAUUUGUGAAGGGAACUUGAUUUCUCCUGCUCUCCUAAAGCUAUCGUUCACCGUCAAAACUGCAAAUGACGAUGAAACGAGAAGACGAUAGUAGAACACUAAUUUUGGUCAUCUUACUCGCCGUGCUCAUUUAUUCUGGCUCGGUUCACUCCUGCGACUUUGCAAGCUCUCCCUCGCCUUCACCGGUGAGUUGUUCCAACACUCUUCACUAAUCAAACAUCAAAACAUGUUUCUCAAACAACAACAAAAACAUGGCUCUUUGCUCUUCAUUGUCUUGGAGAAAAUAUGACUACUCGUUUCUUUAUCUGUAGGCCAUUGCGAUUCCAUGACCGUCUGAGCCAUAGGCAUUUGCCGCAUUUACAAAAAGAAAAGCAGAGGGUCUUUCCCUGCGACUUGUUACUCAAAAUGUAAUCAGUUGGAGGCUUGGAGCCAUACAUGCCAGUUCAAGUCUCAGUCCGGGCAAUGGAUUUGGAAGAAAACGAGUACUAUCCACUGGUAUGGAAAUGUGUUUGUGGUGAAUGGUGAUAAUAUAUUUCCCCUUAGUUUAACUUUUAGUAUUACUGUUAUGCGGUGAGAAGUUGUCAUCUCACAAUAACAGUGAUGUAAGAAGUUUUCAUUGAUUUCCAAAAAAGAAAAAAAAAAAAAAAAGAAGUUUUCAUUACGUGCAGUAAAGGUUUGCAUUUUCAACUUCAGAAGUUACACUCAACAAUCCUUUUGAAAAAAGGUCGUUUAUCUAUUUUCAGUAAAAGCAAAAAUUGGCUCACCAUGAAUAUGAAAACCUUAGUAAUCAUUACAUGUAAAUUGAAUUGCAAAUUGAAAAAGCAAUGAACGAUUACUAGAAUACAACAUAGGAUCUGAAUGAAGCCAACCUAGUUCUUGUUCUCCGUUAAGUACUGCUAGUCAGGUGAUCGCGAUUUUUGUUCCCUCCCAUAUUCAAUCAUAGUUGCAGCGUUUUAGUUCCUGCACAAGAAGCAUCAUGGAAUUAUAAGUCGUGAGCAAAUAAAACAAAUGUACUCCAACAUUUCGGUGAGGAAGGGGGAAGAUUUUAAUUAACUCCAAGCACAACUCAACUAUUUAAUAUGAAAAACUUUAACAAAAGAGGAUUACCUUUGACAACAAACGAUGUUUUGUCAUCAAUUGUGUCUUAGCUUUGUCUACAAUAGAGGUCCUCUGCACAUAAUAACAAGGAUGUUAGUGCAAAUGGUGCAGUUUGUAAAGAGUCAGACUACUUUUUAAAUUGUUAACACAACAUGCACAGUUUGAAGGCAUACCCAAACCCUUUCUUUCUUUCUUUGUUCCUUCGUUAGCAUGUAUUGAUCUCUUUCUUCAGGCAUAAAAAAGCGCACAGAGAUCUGUAAAUUUAGUAUACCAGACAGAACAAAUAAUCAAGCCUCAAAUCGAGUACAAGACGCAUGGUGUUCUAUAAAUCAAGAUAUUUGGUCAACUUCGAUUACAACAUCAAGAUAUUUCAAGUAGAAGUAACGCAAAAGUUAAAGAUGACUAACCUUAUCAGUAGUAGCUACAUACAACUCAGGACCUAUAUUCUUGUUUUUGCGAGGAUCGAACUCGAACAAAUUCUGAAGCUUCUCAUUUUCCUGUUACCACAAUGAAAGUUGUUAAUUGGCCUUGAAGUCGGUGAGAAAAUCAGUAAGAACAUAAUACUGAUAAUAGGGUAAAAACUAACCUCCAUAUGUUUUUUAAAUCCAUCAGCCAGAAACCUCUUCAAAAACUGCAGCUGUUAUGGUAGAGUAUCAGAUAUUGAUCAGAAAACUUCAAAUUCUGCAAACUGGUAUCAAGUAAUCAACUAAUCAUAUAGAAAUCUGGAAGUCACUAACCUGAAUUAUUUGAUACCAUGAUGACAACGUUAGUACUUUCCCCUUGACCACUAAAGAUUCUGCCAGAACAUGAGAACCCUGACAAAGAAAACAGUUCAUAAAUUUAAUGCCACAAACUAGAAUAAACACAAGUAACUCUAUAAUAAGGUACUCUUAGGUAAAAGAUAGACUAUUACCUCAAAAUAUCUUGAGACAUUACGGAUUUUGACUGCAUUUUUCUCAGUUCGUAGAUUUAAGUAAGCACAGUUAACUCUCUUUAAAAGAUGGGCUCUAAGUGAUUGUUGCAUUUGUGUAUAACUGGGGCUUGAACCACUUUCAUCAUUCCAGAACUUUUCAAGAGAGCCAGUUUCAAAAAUUAAAGCUAAUGCUUCACUAGCUGCUCCACAUACUAAAUUGUUGUCGUGAUCUAGUAAAUUUGCGAAGUAUGAGAUGGCCCUGUAUCAAUAUGUAUAAUUGUUAUAUAUAUAUCUAUCCCUUCAAGUAUGGUAAAUUGUUUAUUAAACAUAUUUAUAUUUAUAUAAAUAAUGUAGAGAUGCACUUUACCCUUUCCAGUAGGAGUAGCUGAGCCUAAAUCCCUCCAUGCUUGAAAGAAGAAACAACCAAGCAUAUAUUGCGGCAACCAGUAACUCUGCUGAAUUAUUUUUUGUGUUGACCUAAAAGUUAAAACAAAAACUACUUUAGACACAAAUUAUAAGGUAUGAAGGUAGUAACAAUAGGAAUACUUGAGAAACUUAAUAGUGAUUAAUAAACUGGAGAAGUUUAAAAUUUUGUUGUAACUACAGCCGAAUUUGGUAAAAUUUGCACCAAAAAAUGAAACACAAGCAUAGCCAAAGUUACACAUACAACAUAGCCCGACUCUGGAUUGAGGUACUCCCAUAUAUUGUGCAUGGCAUUCUGUGUUUCAUCUGGAUUGGUUGCACCAAAGAAAGCAACAAUAGACAAACAAUCCAAUAUCUGCACGAAAAGAAUAUUUUGUCUAAGAUUCAUAUGUCCUGAGAAAUCCUCUGAAUAAAAAUUAGGAACCAACAAAUUAGUUAAGCUACCUUUAUCGUAGUGGACCCAGAUUUCAGAGCUCCAGAAAGUACAGGAAGCAACUCUCUAUAUAUUUCAGAGAGUUUAUUUUCACAACCAACUAUUGUUGCCAGCAAGCCUAUGACAUGAAAUGAAUUAUUCACCUCUUUGGUAGAACCUUUCUUCACAGAGUUUAAGCAUCUGUAUAGAAAGGUAGCAAACCUGAAGAAAACAAAAUAUCUGUCAAAAUCACAUUGCUGCGGUGUUAAAUACAAAUAGGAACACAUCAUAAUGAGCUUCUACAUGGUCUAGAUCAGUUUAGGUCGAUCUUGCUGCUCUUGCAUACAUGUUCUGUGAAUUCUAAAGUGCUACAGAUAGAAACAGGCAUUUGGCGCAUUAUAUUGUAACUGCAUUGACAGCGAAAUCUAGAUCAGAUUGAUUCUGGUACUUAACUUUCCUUUUGCGUUGCAUACAGAAAAGAAAAGGUAAAAUCAAUCUCUUUUAUGCAUAGUAUUACAUGACAAUUUGGCUAAAAGUGGAACAACUUGGCUAAAAAAGAUUGAACAUCUUCAUUAGAUUUCUUUCAAAGUAAUAUAAACUUGCUUACUUCUCUUCCAGCAAAUUUUUGCUUAGGUUCGCAUUCAAGCCUUCAAUCAUAGAGGCUAGUGUCUCCUCUCGCUUAUCCCCCCUUCAUUGAUAAAACAAACAAACCCAUCAAAUUUUGGUGGCAACCAAAACACCAAGAUACUAAAUUUGAGAAUUACACAAUGACAUUACCUUUUUUCUAAUAACCCUUCUACUAAGUGAGUAGAAAUAGGACCUAAGGGGCGGGGACGAGAAGUUUGAAUCACUUUUUCAGGUAACUCAUCAUCAUACCCAUCAGCAACAGCUCUUCCACCUGUUUCUAUUACAAAAGAAAUUAUCCCCAUCAAGCUACAAGCAACCAAAGGCUCACAUACAAAAUUUCAAACAACCAGAAACGAAAAAGUACAUUACUUUGUUUGCCUCUUUUCUUCAUGGCAUUUGGAGGAUUAUGAUUAGCUCUUGCUCUCGUGUUCGAAAAACCCCGACGACUACUCAUUGUUCCAACUCUUCCAACUAACUCAACAAAUUCCUCAAAUCCAAAUUGCUAAAGAACAAAAAGUACCCUAAUUUGCAACACAAAUAAAUUGAUUUUUGCUAAACUCUAAUUGAAUAUCCACCAGCUCUCUCUUUUCCAUUCGAAUACCGAUUGCUCCGAUCACCUCACGACACCAAAGCUCUUCCUUUUCAAAUUCAAAACACUCCAACAUUGUAAUUGCUUAAGUUAUGAACCUGAUGCAACCUUAAAUAGGUUCUCUUUUGUAUUUCCUAAUCCUACACUGAAAAGGAUCAAACUUUACAAAUUUUCACAAGCAAUCCCAAAAAUUAACAAAAACCCAAUUCAAAUUUCGAUAAAUCGUUACCUGAACCAUCACGGAAUCGAUGCUGAAUUCCAUGUUCAAAACCCACCUGACCUCCUGUGUUGGUGCUCAAUUGGUCAACAAAGGUUUGACCUUUUCACCAGGGAAGCUCUAACUCACACAAUGUGAAGCUCUGUGCUGCUGAGGUCAUGGUGGGCGUCAUCGUUAUGAAACUAUUCGUCUUCCACAAUUUUGUGUUCUUGCAAGUUUUGCUGGGUUUUGAAUGUCUCUGAAGAUAUAAAUAGGUUGUCGGUAUUUUACAUUUGAUCCUCAAAUUAACCUUUCUAUUUCAUUAUUAUCCCUGUGUACUUUUGUUUUGACAAUUUGGUCUCAAUGGUUCAUGGUUGUUUGCCUUUGGCAUGUAGAUGUUUCAUACUUUGUUUUGGCACUUUGGCUAGAUCAAAGUUGUCAUUAAGAAAUAGGAUUUUGUAUUCACUAUCCAUAUUACGACUCAAGAUAGUGUAUCAUUUCACUUGAAUGUUACUAUAUAUUUAGUAACUGAUGGCAAGAGCUAAAUGUUCCAAUUUGAAAUAUUUACAAAGGUUUGGAGAGAAGUAAAAUUGAGACUACUGGUUUCAAUAUAUGGGCAGUAUAUUGAGUAUUACCAUAUAAUUUCUUGCACUUUACUCCGUUCUAUGCGACUCUUUGAGGAAAUAACUUGAAAAGUGUUCCAUCACUGAUUGUAACUUUGAGAAAUAGGGGUCGAUAGAGGUUGAAUAUUGAACAAAUUGAGUGCAGAAUAUUCUUUCUGCACCUAGCUUUUCACCUGUUUCCAUAUUGUUGACCUCAUUCAAGAUUGUCGCGGUGAAAUACUCCACCAGUCCAGCCAUUCCAUAAGAACAUAUGAACAGAUGUCCAACAAAAACAGAAGGUUCAACUUAUAAGACAAUAGUAGACCCUCAAAAGUACUUUAGAAUUUGUUACAAAUCAACAAGACACCUAAAGGCACGAUAGAAAACUGCUAUCAAUUCCUGUGAACCAAAAGUGUUUCUCCCUAGUGCAUAUGCACACAUUUGCAAAUCCUAUGAAGCCAAAAGAGUUUCUACCUUUGCAAUUUGAUCCUCUUCAUUUUUUGGUGUUGGACUCCUGUUAGCCUCAUGAUAUAAAUCAUGUUCCCAUUUCUCAACACGACCACCACUGGAAUGAAAUUCUUGUCUCUCACCGAAUCUAUCUCUUCCUCUGUAGUUGCGGACAGCAGCACCAUUGGUGUACCUUUCUCUUGAAGGAAAGACACCCCUCUGUGCUUCUCCCUUGUGACGCACCCUGUCUCCCCCAAAUUGCUUAUCAGAUCUAUCCAAGUGGCGUCGGUUGUCACUUCUUUCUUCCUUUUUUCUAUUUCCAUCCAUCGAACGGUCAAGAUGGCUUGACUUUGCAGUCUCUACUGCUGUUUUUUCAGUAUCUUCAGACUCCAGUGGAGCCUUCAUCUCCCUGAAUGCCGGUCUUUUCCUUGCAGCUGGUAGAUCAGCCUCCAAUUCUGAGUAACGAUCAUGACGCCAGCUCCUGUUUUCAUCACCAUUAGGUUUCUCAUUUCUUAGCCGUGAACCAUUAGUUUUUUUGCUCGUUGUCUUAUCAUCAUGCUGAUCCCUCGAAUCCCUCCGGCGUCCAUGUUCUAAAAUUGAGCAGCAAAAUAAAUAACACUAUCUUUUAUAAAAUACACCAUAACAAUAUAAUUGGAACCGUAGACCCUGAUGGGAGGAGUAAGACAUCACUAACCCACCAGGCUACCAAGGCACCAGCAGGGAAAAGUAAAUGAUACUAUUGACACCGUAAAAGAUAUUCAAGAUCACAACUGACAGAUAAACUAACAUCGGUUUCAUAGAUUAUCAGGAAAAGUGACAGAAACAUAAAAAAGAACUCCUUUCUUUCUCUUAUGUUUAUGGAAGUAGCCAAGUAGCAUAAAGAAUCUCACCAGAAGUUGAACCACGGCCAGAGCUCCGAACAGCUUGUCCGGCACCAUUAUGCUCAUCAUGCUGCUAUGAGACAUGCACAGGCAAGCCAAAUAUUGUUAGGCACUUGAACGAUUAUGGGGGAGAUCAACAAUCCCACUACACCAACAAAAAGGUUUGCAACACAGCACCCAAGUAAACUCAAUAGAAUGGCGGGUUCUUAGAUGAGCACUUCUAAAUCAAGGUGAAAUCUAGGUUCAAGUUUAAGACUCAUGUCAAUGAAAACGAAGUUCUUAGUGGCUUUUAAGUGUAUAUCAAUCAAAUUUUUUCCAAUUGAAGAAGUUAUGCAGCAGAUAAUUUUCACUAAUUCAUUUAAUAGUUGAGUUACUUUUACUGUAGAAGUUAAUCACCAUCCCCCCACUCAGAUAAAUUGUCUAAUUUUGCAAGAGUUGAUACCACAUCAUUAACAUAAAGCAACAACUGUCACUUACACAACAUGCUACUGUCUAACUACUAAACCUAGAGAUAGUAAACAACUUUUAAGUAUCCCAAUAUAACAAACCAAGGAAGAUAUACACUGAAAGCUGGAAGUCAGAGGUUGAGCCCUAUUGACAAUUCCUAUAGCACAGACACUAAGGCCGCAUUAGUUACCGGACAAUGUUAUCAGAUUUAGACAAUUAAGCUAAAACAAUUAGAAAACAUCACAUACACAUUCUGCAUACAAAGGGAAAUAAGUUGAAGAGAUUCAUAAGUUUAUGUACCACCUGAAAAUAUGAUCGAGACCAGGGAACUUCAUUUGCAUCAGAAGAGUUUUUGGUUAGUUCUUGAUGUCCACUGGGUUUCGCAUCUGACUCCUUCCAGGGAGCCCCACUUUCCACCUUGGCAUUGGAUCGUAAUGGGGACUCGAGUGGCAAUGCAUCUUGAAGCCUGCGCCGCUGCUUUUGUUCCUGGACAUCCUGGUAAGUCUUCUUUGCACCCUCCACAUUACUCUUUUCAAGGACUCUGUCUUUCUCAUCCCUCCUAGACCUCUUGGGACUAAACUCAACCAGUGAAAGUCAUUAGCUACUUGAAAAUCAUCCAUUCUGACUUUCUUAUCAAUCACAACCAGGCACCUGUCUACUUAAAUGAGAGCAUUACUGACAUGGGAAAUGACCUUUCACGGCUUUCUUAACUCGAAGAAAGGUUCAAUCUUUCUAUCAAAUAACCCUUAAUUUGAAAUUUGAUUGAUUACCCACUUAAGUUCACAUUCUAGUUUGUCAAAUUCAACAAAGAUAAAUCACAUUCACAUGCCUGAACUCACAUCAUUUUACACUGAGACUAUUUGUCAUGAGAAACCAACCAAAGUUAACAGCCAGUGUUCCACAUUAUUGCUUUUUCUCGUAUCGGAUGAUAAACAGGAUAACUCAACUCAGUCUGUCAAUGCAUAAAGUCCCAUACUUUGAUUCACAAACAAGUAUAAGAGAGAAAGAGAGAAAGAAAUACCUGGGUUCCCUGUCGAACUUGGAACGGUGUCGUCUGGAAUCAGAAUCGCGUCGGGACAUCGAGAGAGGAAUGGAGAGCUGGAAGCAAAUGGGUACAGUAGUCUUAGUCUUAGGGCUCCCUAUCUUGUGCUUCAGUUGUUUGUUGAUGUUUGGGGGUCUUGCCGGACAGGCUCUGGAAUUUCAUUUAGUUUCGAUUAUCAUAUUUUCAUUUUUAUUUUUCUUUUUUCCAUCUUUAACUUUUGGUGGGUUUACUGCUUUUUCCUUUUUUGCAUAGUGAUAUUCAAAGGAAAUCUGAGAAAUUUUUCAGCGUUACGGGAAGACCACGUGGCAGUAUGAUAUAAUCUUACAUUUUAAUCAAAUAUUGACACAUGAAAUUUAUUAAGGAAAAUUUACAUAUCAAAUAUUGACACAGGAAAUUUAUUAAGAAAAAAUUACAUCAGCUAUUUUGUCAAAGACAAUUUUGGGAGAAAUUUUUCAUCGCUACGGAAUGACCAUGUGGCAGUAUGACGUGAUCCUACAUUCCAAUCAAAUAUUGACACGUGAAAUUUAUUAAGGAAAAUUUACAUAUCAAAUAUUGACACAUAGAAUAUAUUAAGGAAAAAUUACAUCAACUAUUUUGUCAAAGACAAUUUUGGUUUUGUUCACUACUAGAAAAAUGUUCUUAAGCGACGAAAAAAAACAAACAAAGUAAUUUCCGUCGCUUCAGUAACUUUUUAAGCGACAAAACACAUUUUGUCGCUUAAGUGAACACUUAAGUGAACACUUAAGCGACAAAACAAUGUGUUUCGUCGCUUAGGUUAUCACUUAAGCGACGAAAUUAGUUUUGUCGCUUAAAAAGUUACUUAAGCGAUGAAAAUAAACUUUUGUCGCUUAAGUAAUUACUUAGACGACGAACAAUGUUUUACUUAAGUGACAAAAUUUUACCGUGUAAUUUUUUAAAAAUUACAAAUAAAAGCUGAAGAAUUUAGGCGACGAAACCAAACACUUUUGUCACCCAAGUGUCAAUGCAUAUUUUUUUUUUGUCUCCAAAGAGUUAGUGUAUAAAUUGACAUUUUUUUUGCUAAGCUUAAUAGAGUAAACAAUUUUAAGACUGUGAGCGUUGACGGUUCUAAAAACGGAGCUUCGAAGAAUCGUUAAUUAACGUUUUUGUUUUGUAAGAAUUUCGGUUCUNNNNNNNNNNNNNNNNNNNNNNNNNNNNNNNNNNNNNNNNNNNNNNNNNNNNNNNNNNNNNNNNNNNNNNNNNNNNNNNNNNNNNNNNNNNNNNNNNNNNNNNNNNNNNNNNNNNNNNNNNNNNNNNNNNNNNNNNNNNNNNNNNNNNNNNNNNNNNNNNNNNNNNNNNNNNNNNNNNNNNNNNNNNNNNNNNNNNNNNNNNNNNNNNNNNNNNNNNNNNNNNNNNNNNNNNNNNNNNNNNNNNNNNNNNNNNNNNNNNNNNNNNNNNNNNNNNNNNNNNNNNNNNNNNNNNNNNNNNNNNNNNNNNNNNNNNNNNNNNNNNNNNNNNNNNNNNNNNNNNNNNNNNNNNNNNNNNNNNNNNNNNNNNNNNNNNNNNNNNNNNNNNNNNNNNNNNNNNNNNNNNNNNNNNNNNNNNNNNNNNNNNNNNNNNNNNNNNNNNNNNNNNNNNNNNNNNNNNNNNNNNNNNNNNNNNNNNNNNNNNNNNNNNNNNNNNNNNNNNNNNNNNNNNNNNNNNNNNNNNNNNNNNNNNNNNNNNNNNNNNNNNNNNNNNNNNNNNNNNNNNNNNNNNNNNNNNNNNNNNNNNNNNNNNNNNNNNNNNNNNNNNNNNNNNNNNNNNNNNNNNNNNNNNNNNNNNNNNNNNNNNNNNNNNNNNNNNNNNNNNNNNNNNNNNNNNNNNNNNNNNNNNNNNNNNNNNNNNNNNNNNNNNNNNNNNNNNNNNNNNNNNNNNNNNNNNNNNNNNNNNNNNNNNNNNNNNNNNNNNNNNNNNNNNNNUUUUUCAACCAUUCGUUUUAUUUUUUUAUACCCUCAUCCUAGCCUCUCUCUCUCUUCCACUUCAUGUUCCUCCCUUUUCUCUCUGCCUCUUCCUCCCUCUUCCUCCCUCCCUGGCGACUCCGUCUCCUCCCUCCCUAAACUUGUGGACAGUCCUCACCAAAACCAAAGGCAUCAUCAACGCCCACUCCUGCCACUUCCUCGCCCUCUUCGUCGUCUUCCUCCUCCCCGUCUCCAUCUCCUGCACCGUCUACCCAACUCUCCAAAACCUCCUCAUCUCCGAUCACCCACGCAUAAACUCCCAAGAGUUCUUCACCUCUUCCGAUUCUGCCCCUCCUCACCUCCUCCUCCUCGACCUCGCCUUGGCCCUCUUAGUCUUCGUCUUCUCCCUCUUCGAUCUCGGCUCCAUCACCCACUCCGUCUUCCACGGCUUCUAUGGCCGCCUCGUCAAGUUUUGUUGGGCUAUUCAUCGUGGUUGCGAUUGUAUUGCUACAAGAGAGGUAAAUGAAAUUGUGAGGAUAUGUGAAUGAAAUUAGGGAGUUGUGGAGAGAAUUGUGAAUGUGAUUGUGGGUUUAUUUGUGACAGAGGGGUGCCGAAAGUGGUUAUUUGGUGGGAGAGCUCGGCGGUGGGUUUUGUGGGUAGAGGUAGGUGGUGGCGGCGCGCGGUGGUGUGUGGUGUAGGGAAAGAAAAAGAAACAAAAAAAAGAAAAAAAUAAAACUACAAAAAAGAAAAUAAAAAUGAAACUAAAAUGUUUUAAUUAAUUUAAUUUAAUUUAAUGUUUAUUUAAUAAACAUUAAGGGACAUUAAAUGAAAUGAAAUUAAUUAAAACAUUUUUUUUAAAUAUUGUAAACACUAUAGCGACGAAAUGUUUUGUCGCCCUAGAGAACUAUGUUCGUUGCUUAAGUAUUCAGGCGACGACAUGGCUUUCGUCGCCUAGGAGGGCAUUUAUGCGACGAAUAAGAAAUUUUUGUCGCUUAAGAACCUAAGAGACGCGUCAUAUGCGACGAAUCUUAAGCGACGAAACAUUUGUCGCUUAAGUUCUUAAGUGACAAAUUUUAGGGUUUAGGCGACGAAAUAUACCCGUCGCUUAAGAAAUUUUUUCUACUAGUGGUUGUUGCCUUUUAAACCCUAAACCCUAAACCCUAAACUCUAAACCUUAGACCCUAACCCCUAACCUCUAAACCUCUAAACCCUAAACCCUAACCCCAAACCGUAAACCCCAAACCCUAGUCCGAACUCAACAAAGACCCAUGAAUAUCAUUUCACAAAAAAUUCAUACAAAAUAGAAAACCUUAGUUUAUAUUUUAGUAGUAAUAAAUUCAUGUGUUAAUAUUUGAUUGGAAUGUAGAACCAUAUCAUACUGUCAUGUGGUCCUCCUGUAGCAUCUAAAAAUUUAUCUCGAGAUCCCAAAUAAUUUUACCAAAUAUCAGUACCAAAUGAUGUGGCAUAUGCCAUAUCAUCAAACUAUUUAAGCAUGUAUAUUUUUAUUUUAUUUCUUUUGUUUAAAAUAAAAAUAUCAGUAAUUAAAAUUUAUUAUUAUAUGAUUAGAAAAAAUAUAUGAUAAACAACAACCAAAGGAAGAAAAAACCCUAAUCCAACCCUUUCAAUUGUGGAGACUUUACGAAAAGGCCAUCAGCCAAAACUAGAACAACAAAAUACAAAAUCUUGUAUGACUUGGUUCAUUAGUUCGUUGGUAAUCGAAUUAUGAUCUAUUAUGUAAGUCUCAUUCAAGUUCCAUUUUCUAUAUACUUUGACCAAAUCAAAACAUACGUCAUGAGGAACUUACCUAAAGGAGAAGUAUAUUAGAUCAUUGAAUUGGCCAAAAGUAGAAAAUCAAUCAUAUGAUAUAUCAAUUUGUUAUAUUGAAUGACACUAACAUACAGUAGUGGUGUGGUAGGAUAAUCAAUGAGGUUUUGCAAUCUGGGAAUACACAUAUAUGGUACGUGAUGGAGUUAUGAUGUUUUUCAAUUGAUAGCCAGAUCCAUCUUUACUGGAUUUCAUAUGAAUUUAACAAGAGUUCUUAUAUUGAGAGAGAAAGAAAUAGUUGUAUUAUUCUACAUGCAACCUGCUGGAUUUAAUGCAAGUUUUUGACGCUAGUGUCAAUGUUGAUUAUACAGAUCAUUUGGUUUGUUAUUCUUGUCUGAAGGAACUAUGGCGGCGGUAGAUUUGGUUGUUUGGUGACCAUUUAUGUUUUCUUUUUUAUUUAUUUUGCUGAUUAAUUGGUUUCUAAAUAAAAUCAAUGAAAUUACUGGAAAUUAUUAAAUUAGAUGUCAUGACACAGAAAACACCAAAUCAGAGGCCACGUCAUUUUGUAUUGAGUUUUGGUAUACUUUUUGGUGUCUGUAGCAGUGCUCCAGCUAUAAAAAUAAAUAUAAGUUUUUUUAUUACUAAAAACUACUUUAUUGAAUCAACUUAAAAAUACAUCAACUUGAAUUACAUCAUUGAUAUUGGUUUUUCGAGAAUCUCAUAACUAGGUUCUACUGAUAGCAACAAUAAUAUAAGAUUUUGAUAAACUAAUUUUACUAAUAUGCUGUUUGUGAAAUUUUUAGAGCAAACAAAGGUGACUUGCUAAAAAAUUCAAAGUUUUGAUAACUAAAUAUACUAACAAUAAUAUGUUGUUUGUGGAAAAAAUUUGAGUAAAGAAAGGUGAAUUGUUAAAUGCAUCGUAUGUUCAUUAUCUUGAUCUAGUGAAGAAGAAUGCAGCAGUGGUUUAGUUCACUCAAGAACGUUCAACAAAGAGAAAACCACCUAGUUUUUUUUUUUAGCCCCAAAAUCUUCGGUUGGGCUUGUGCCCUACCAAAGCCUUAGCUGCCUCCGAGCCUAGUGGAGGCCCCAUGUGCUCCAAGGCACGAUCUCUACCAGAGGGCUUUCGUCUGAGGUACCUCGGCAAGCGAUCCCUCCGCAACGGGGGCGUCUCGAUUAAUCUUGAACAAAAGAAGAAAGAGGCAGAGACAGCGGAUCAAGAGGCAACAGCUCUGGAGCAGCAUAGGACAGGCCCCAGAUCUGAGAUUGUGGAUCACUACGGUCACCUCUAACCUAUGAUUUAAUAACAGAUUUGACUGUUUAGACUCUUUAAUCGAAGUUUGAUCUGACUAUUCAGACUCUCUUAUCGGUUUGAUCUGGGUUAUGUGGUUAUUUUUGGAAAUUGAUCUCAAUUUCAGCGACUAUUCUGAUCCGUUAAUUGAAAUCUCGGUUUUGUGAUUGUGCUUAGUUUGUUUAAUCAAAAUCGUGAUUGUUUUGGGUUUUGUUUAAUCCAAAUCAAUUGGUUUCUGUGCCUAGUGGGUGUGUGCUUGCUUUGUUUUUGUUUAAUCAAAAUAUGGGUUUCUGUGACCAUUCUCAAUUUGUUUAAUUGAAAUCGUAACUAUUCUGGGCUUUGUUUAGUCGAAAUUAAUUGGUUUCCAUGCUUAGUGGGUGUGUGCUUGCUUUGUUUCUGUGUGAUUAUAUUAUAGUAAUUGUGCUUUAAUGAUGAAACAUGAUUAUUUUGACAAUGUGUUCAGGAUAAAGGUAUUAAGAGUUAAAAGAUGGGAAGAAGUUCUUAGGACAAGUAAUGUAAGAUGUUUAGACAACUAUGGUAGGAGGAUAGAAGAGAAGGUUGAUAAGAGGAGGGAUGGCUUUUAAUUAGCAAGUUUGCUUCAGUCAUUCAUACAUACAUGUAACUCCAAGCUAUUAUAUUAGGCAAAGUUCUUACUUCAUAGCGCUGCCCAAAGCUCCAAGUCAUCGUCAAAUUUCUGAAAGUUAGAUACAAAUUAGACUAUUAGAGGAUGAAGCGACAAACUUUGACAAAUUUGGGAAAAAUUGUUUAGUACACUAAACCAUCGAAUUUUUUACAUAUGAAAUUUAAUAAUCACACUUACAAUCAUGUCUUGAAUGGAGGAAGCAAAUGAUUACAAGCAGCUAAGAAAUUGAUUAAUUGAGGAAGUGAGGGACUGAGUCACUCACAAAUUAAAGAACGGAGGGAUUUGAGAGUCUGGAGGCCAGUGUCAUUGUCUUGUUGAGAGGAAGAGAGGGAAAGAUUAGGGUGGAAUUGUGGAAUUAGGCAAAGUUCCACAAUUAGAGGAUGAAGCGAUGAACUUUGACAAAUUUGGGAAAAAUUGUACAAUACUAGUAACCAUUGAAUUUUUUACAUAUGAAAUUCAAUAAUCGCAUUUGAACACAGAUCAACGUCAACCUAGACGAAACAUGAUUCUCUUAGGUUGUUCCAUUUGAACACAAUCACAUUUUUGAUACCUACACAACUAUAAAGAUAAAUAUAAUAAUUUUUUUAUUACUAAAAACUGCUUUAUUGAAUCAACUUAAAAAUACAUCAACUUGNNNNNNNNNNNNNNNNNNNNNNNNNNNNNNNNNNNNNNNNNNNNNNNNNNNNNNNNNNNNNNNNNNNNNNNNNNNNNNNNNNNNNNNNNNNNNNNNNNNNNNNNNNNNNNNNNNNNNNNNNNNNNNNNNNNNNNNNNNNNNNNNNNNNNNNNNNNNNNNNNNNNNNNNNNNNNNNNNNNNNNNNNNNNNNNNNNNNNNNNNNNNNNNNNNNNNNNNNNNNNNNNNNNNNNNNNNNNNNNNNNNNNNNNNNNNNNNNNNNNCCCAAAUUUGUCAUAUUCGGUCGUGUGUCUGAAAAUACUAGCAUUUAACCUGAAGAUGAGGUAAACUGUUUGUUAUUUUUUUUUCUUUUGUUGAUGAUUCGUCUAUCUUUUACUCAUUAUUUCCCAUGUUAACUUUGUAUGUAAAUUCUUAUAGACAACUACUGUACCAUAUUUAUGAACAACGGAUAGAUCAGUUUAAAAAACUUAGAAGUAUGGAAGGCAUUGCUAUUAGAGAUAUAUUUACAGACAUUGUGCAUCUUGAUAUCGACUGAUACCAUUGAGUUAUAAAAUUUGAGAGUUUUUCUUUGUUCUUUAACUUGGAUUUAUAUUUUCAUAUGAAUUUUUGUUCAUUUGGUGAUUUUACUUAGCUUGAGCAAAUCUGAAUUUUACAAAAUAUAUGAAAAGAAUGUAUGUAGGGUGAACAAAAUAGAAUUGACAAAACAGAUUUUUAGGUAUUGUUAAUGGGUGAACAAAAUAGACUUACAAUUAAAUUUAUAUGAGUGGGGUGUGAAAAGAAUGUGGGGUGAGCAAAGUGAUUUGUGGGGUGGCAAUAGACGCACUCUAUAAGGUUUUGAUAAACUAAUUUUACUAAUAUGCUGUUUGUGAAAUUUUUAGAGCAAAGAAAGGUGACUUGCUAAAAAAUUCAAAGUUUUGAUAAACUAAAUAUACUAAUAAUAAUAGAGUAGCGCUAGAGACACCAAAAUUUCUUACCAAAUUGCAAUCCCAAACGAGGUGGCAUUUGACAGUACUUCAUCAAUUUAUUUGCUUAAUAAAAUCCUAGGUGUAAUUAUAACAUAUAUCAAUUCUUUUUUAUUUGUAAAGAAAAACCACUUCUAAUCUGGUGACAAAAGAACCCAACUCAACCAUGAAUGAAAUUGGGGUAUUCAACUAAUCAACCAUCGAAGGCUAUCAUCUUAUAUUCUUAUUGUAAUCUUGCGACAUGUUUAGUUGUUUACCAUGAAAAGCUUUACUGUUUGAUUUGAAGCCCCAAGCUACAUCUCUUGUUCCAGAUCGUUUUCGCAUCUAUAUCUUCAAGCUUCUCCCAUAUCUUGGCUUGAAACCAAAUUCUACCCUCAAAUUUGAUUAUCAACAAAUUUCUAAAAGAAUUUGGGAGGAUCGCCUACAAGUGUAUAAUAUUGUUGUUGCUAACUUGAUAAUCACCAAAACAAAAUCAAUUUCAUUGAAAUUCGCUCAAUGAUUUUAGCAUGCACAAUGAGAAUCUCCAUUGAAUUGGUUUUCUUAUAAGAUCUUGAAUAUCUUUUACUUAAUCUUGAAUAUCUUCUGCUUAAUUAAUAAUAAUUAUUUUUUUCAAAAUUUAUCAGUAAAAAUGGUUAAUUGGGUUGAAAUUAUAUAAAAAUUAUUUGCUUGAUGACAUGGCGAACACCACAUCAUUUGGGAUCCAUAUUUGGUACAAAUUUUUGAGAUCUCUAGUAUUUUUGAUAAUAAUAUGUUGUUUGUGGAAAAAAUUUGGGGAAAGAAAGGUGACCUGUUAAAUGUAUCGUAUGUUCAUUAUUUUGAUCUAGAGAAGAAGAAUGCAACAGUGGUUUAGUUCACUCAAGAACGUUCAACAAACACCAUAACCGUUAAAGAAUAAUGUGAUGUUGAUCGUCAUACAGUAGUGAAAAGCUUAGACUCAAUGAUCGUGAGCAGUGGCGUAGCCAAAAAAUUUAUCGAGCAGGGUCAAUAUUUAUAUAUAACCAUAAUUUACAUAUAUGUUAAAGAAUUAUCAAAAUUAAUGCUUAAUAAAAAUAAUUAUUUUGUUAAAAUGUUAACAAUAACAUCUUUAAUUGUAAUGCAAAAUAUAUUACAUUGAACUGAUCUAUCUGGAAAAAAAAAAAUUAGAUGCCCUGUAAGAAAUAAGAAGACAAGAAAACUAAUAGUAGUCCAAUGUGUUAUUGUACUCCAUCUAUUGAAAAAGUUUCUUCUUUUGUCUUUUUUCUUGCUUGAAUCUAUGUAGCAAACAGAUUCUUUUGUUAGAGAAAAGAUAAAUAUAUACAAACUUCAUAUUACAUUUGUUGAUCAUAGGUUCAUCACCAAUCUUGAACUACGUGAUUACUAGAAUAUAAUAGACCAAUCUUUUCACAAGGGUCAAUUUAUACAAAUCUCAGCUAAUUGGUUUAGUUUUAUAUUGAUUGAAGCCCCCAAUCUUAACCACAUGAGCAAUUCUCAAAGUUCAAAGAGGUCACCUGAACCCUCUCGUCCUAUACAUUGCCUACGCCAUUGAUCGUGAGAGGUUAAGGCCCAGUUUGGUUUUGAGUUUUGAGGAUUAAAAUCACUUAUAAUCAUUAUUUUAGAUAGAUUUUCUAUUUGGUAAAAUCUUAAAACGUGCUUAUCUAUAGCUAUUUUGUUUAAGGGUUCCAAACCCCUUUCUACAAUAAAAAAAAAAAAAAAAACUAAUUUAGUUUAAAUAAUCACAAUUUUAGAAAGCAGGUUGGGGUUACUUAUUUAAAACUGAGUUUUUAAACUACAAUACCAAACUAGUAGUAAGAACUGCGUACAAUCUCAGACACAAGUCAUCAAGGGUGUAGCUAGCUAUCAAAUUUUUAAAAAGAGUAAAUAAUUAGCUUUAAUUUGUAUUGGAUAUUAAUGGAAAUGAAACAUAAAUUGACCUUUCUCCUCUAAGAAAUCUUUAAUUAGUCUUAAAUAUUCUUCAACAAUAAUGGAAUGAAAUAAAAAAUUAUACUAUUAAAAUACUUAAUCCAAUUAAUACAAAUCGUGUCAAGAGUUUAUUACCUUACUAAUCCUGACUAAAUGAAAACAACACAUUAAUGUUUACCAUACAUCUACAUGCAUUAUCUCUCGAACAAAAGAAAAAGUAACAUAUUCUUUUUCAAUAUUUAUCGUGCAUCAAAUUCUAAUCCAAAGUUUAUUCGAGAUGAUAAUGAUAGAACAAAAAUAUUGUUGAAAUUAAGUUUGCGUCAUUCUUUUAAAUAAUUUAAUUUUCUAAUUAAUCAAAUUCGAUAUUUUUAAGUGAGAUGUCUUUCUACGCCACUGCAACUCAUGCUUCUAUCCCUGGUCAGUUCAGCACCAAGCAGCUGACAGGACUCCUAAAACUGGCAUGGGACUUGGACUUGUUCUCCGAAAGCUUUAUAAAUCCACGAUGUGUUCAUCAGUUCAUGCCACGUAUCUUAGUCUUAACUGAUAUCUUGUACUUACUGUGAGAUACUUACUAUGAGUUAUGAGGUCAUGAGAUGAUAAUGUAACAUGAGAAAGUUUAAGAUUUACUACUCUUAAUGUGAUUGAGAAAGUUGAUGGUGUAGACAUUCACUUCACUUUCAUAGGAACUUGUAUGAUCUAGUUGCAUAUAGUAUUUCAAAAUUCCAGAAGAAAGGUUUCGACUCCACAGUUGUAAUCCCUUUUAAAUUAAAGCUGACUUCACUUGCUAUGAAUCAUCUCUCAACUACUGUUACAUCUUCAACCAGAUUUAAUCUAAAGGCUUCGAAGUUGGAACUAUCUGUACCCUCCAUUUUAGGUCUAAUUAUCCAGGGUUAGUCCUACAGCAAAUUCAUUUGUAGCUUCGUUCUAGAAUUAAUUAAAGAUAAAUCAGCUACUGAAACAUGAACAUCUCACCUAGAGUUAAGCUACACAGAAGCCAGAAGUCUAAAGCAGUACAUCACCUAGCUAAGAUGCAGCAGCUCUAGAAAAGCCUCUUAUUCUCAGACAGCAUCUCCAGCACCGAAAUCGAUGUAUUCUUGGUCAUUAGAAACAGCUCAAUUGCAAUAGAUUGUACUCAAAUCACUAUCGAGAUUUGAACCUGCUGCACCAUUUUAUCAGCAGUGCUUCAACUUUGGCAUCCAUUCUGGUCCCAACUCCUCCCCAAACCAGCAUGUGAGCAAGGUCUCCAAAUGUUGAACCAGUCACUUCAUACACAGCCUUGAACCCGAUUCUUGAAUAGAACCUAACAAGCUGAAAACAAAUAACCGUCCAAACUCAGCAACAAAAUCAAAGCAAUACAGUGAAAAUCGCACUCUGGUUAUAAAGGAUAACUCCAAUGCUAUUUGAGCUCGAUGCAAGUCAUAAAACAAACUUCACUCACUAAACCAGCACCAAAAAUAUUUUAGAAACUAAUUCUCAAAACAAGCUUGAGUUUUCACUAUAGAAUAACAGAAUACCUUUUCUACUAAAUUAGACUACGCUAUAGCCUAUGGUAUCACUAUACUAGAAAACCAUGAUAACAAAGCCAAAGAAUAAUGACCUUGUGAUGGUACUUGUCAGAGUCAUUGAUAGCCAGCAACUCAGCUGUGUUGCAACCACAAUCAUAGCCAUGCCGAAUUGCUACUGCUCCAAUGAACAAACCAAUGCCAAAGAUUGACUUCUCCAUUCCGAUCGUCUCUCUUCGCAACCUGAUUGAAUCCAAGUGAAGAAUUCUCCUUCUGAGCCAGACCCUUAUGAAACCCUCAGCCCUGCCAAGCUCUUCCUCUGUUUCCAAGCUUUUGGCUGUGAUUCUGAAAAAGGGUCCUAGAAUUUGAAGCUUAAGGUCUAGUUUCUGGGACCUUGAUGAUUCCAAUAUCUCAGACAUGGUUGGCAUAGUAACUUCAAAGCUAUCCUCCUUUCUAUUCUGAACUGGGGUGGUGCUAUUCUGGAUUGAAGCCUGAAGUUGUGAAGCAAUUUGGGUUCUAAAUGGGCAUCUGGGGUUUAGUAUGGAGAAGUUGGAACUUGCCGCCAUUGAUGCUAGUUCCAUUUUUAUCUGGGAUUGUGGAACACUUGAGGAAGGAGUCGGAUUCAGAAACAUAAAAAAGAGGGUAUGCUUUUGCUGGGAGUCAGGGACACUUCAAAACUAACUUGAAAUCAAAGAUCCAAUGUUUAGAUAAGUACACGUGGCAAUACCACCAUCCUGCUUGUGUGGCGAUGUCAUGACCAUUUGACCUAAUAAUAUUAGUGUUCAUAUCAGAGAAACCAUGUUGACCAUAAUUAGAAAACAAACAUCUGUAAGUACACUUAAUUACAAACAAUCAUAUUCUGUUAUUUACAGAGAUAUGUACAAGCCAGUAACAAGUAAAGUAGUCUUAGAAGUUUUGACUGCUCUUAACAAAGAACACAUCAAUAGGUAUGUAUUUAGUUUCUUUUGGAGAUGAUUUAUGCUUUUUGUGUUUCUUUCUUCUCGAAUCCUGAUCCUUGUUGACAUUUCUGAGAAAUACAAAUCUAAUUAGAUCACAUAGGUUUGAUUGGAAUAACCAAAUACUAAUAGCACCAAAUGAAAAUGUGAUGUACCUAUGCCUUGGCCUGGAAGCUCUCAAGUCAAUGCCAGAUUCUUCAUUCUGAAGCUUCUCGGCAAGAUGAAAAUCAACAUGUUCUUGCCGUUCUUCAACAAAAUCUGGUGGCAUUUCUAUGCCACAGAUCGAACACUUGUAGUCAUCCACCCACAAAAGCCAAUCUUUCUGAUGAGAUGAAGAAAUUGGACAGUCCUCAAGGGUGCUAGUUAAACUAUUUGCUCUGUCUUUGCUACUGCCCUCAGAGUUCCCAAGAAAAGAAUAACCUGCUCUCAACAGCAGUGAAACUCCAUUUUGUACAUUGCCCUCUGUCCGUAUGUCAUUUGAAUUCAUCUGAAUAUAUGAAAAAUUCCAUGCAAAGCUAAAGAGUUACACUUUAAAAAUAUAAAUGCUUUUAUAUAUUUACAGAACUAAGUGAUGCUGCUUUGAGUAAAGAUCAACCAUUAGCAACAUAGCAUACCUUUGUCAAGAAACAUACCUUAUCUGAACUCAGAUUGCUCGUAGAUUCAUCAAGUUUUUCCUUUUCUUCAGAAGUGCCAGACAAAGUACACUUCAGGUCAUCAACAUGUGAACAAUCAUUGCCAUCUAGAGGAUCUCCAUGAUCACAUGGAUAUGUUUCAUGGGUUUCUUUAAAUAAACAGGAUUCUUCAACAUGCAUCGAACGAUGAUCAAUAGAGUCCGAGUCCAAGGAGAUUUGAUCACCCAUAGUUUUCCUUGAAGCAUCUCCUGAUAAAAGAUAGUCGGUGAGAGUUUUUUGUGUGGGAUCAGAUGAAGCACCCUUAUCUUCUUCAAAAUGAGACACCCGCAGACCUGACAAAAGAUGACAGCAGUGUUUUUGUUAUACUCUUAGCCAUAACAUCGAGUUAUGUACUCUUAAAAUAGAAUAUCAAUCAUUAUACUGGAUAAGAAUGAUUGAGAUUCAGAAUGAGUGAGUGUGAAGAGGGUUGAUAUGAAAAAUUGCAAAUCCUCAAGUUCGAUCAUAUAACUUAAAUUAAAUUUACAAUUGCUUGCAUGCUUAUAUUAAAGAUAACAAAACACUGCCGUCUGUUUCAUAGACAAAAUCCCCAUGGCACUCCGGGACGGGAAGCAAUUGGAGCUUAUUGGCAGAAAAGAAUUACUCUGGGAUUGUCUCAUAAACAUACCAAAAUGUGACUCAACAUGCACAUUUAUGUCUGAGCCAUUAGGUUUUCAAGAUUUCAGAAGGCUAGGUGUCAAAUGGUUUGGGCUUGAAUGCUAAUGUUAAACUUGCAAGAAUAUGAGAACUACUAAAUGUGAUUCAAAAUACUCACCUAUAAGCCUUAUAGAAACAGGAAGUUCAGCCUUAAGCAACUUUGAAGCAUGCUUCAAUAUAUCCUCAGUCGAGCAUAUAUAUUUUUGAGAAGUCACAGCUCUGGUGCGAACCUAUCAAUUGUAAACUUAUUAGAAUUAGCAGGAUAUUGCAGCAUAAAAAUCACACAAAUGAUGACACCUAAAACUGAAAACAGUCGAAAGGAAAGAAAAAAAAAAAAAAAAGAACUAGAUAGUGCACAUAUUAUGUGAAAGCUAGCCCUAUCAGUGGUAUGGGAGUACAGCAUCAGAACUCCAGAAGUACCUCAAAAGCUGCAGUUUUGAGUUUAAAAGUCAAUGUUCGCCCACAAAGGCCCUCCUUUUGCAAGUCAGCCGAUAGCAUCUCUGCAAUCUCAGCUGCAGGUAUAGAAUACACCUCAGUUUCUGGAUUAGUUUACAACAUUUUAAAUAUUAAAGGACACAUGUACAUCCAAUUCUUAUGAAUGGUUAAGUGGUUGUAUACGUUUGGACAUAAGGCUAAGGCUACAUAGACUUCAGCCAAGACUUGAUACUUUUUCUUUUUUUGGGGGUCUGAACUCAAGAUUCGAGUACUAACACUAAUUUCAACAAAAAAAACCUUUCAUAUUUCAGUUGAAUAAUUAGAACUUUGUUACAGUUGACCACGGACCUUGAAAUAUGCACUCUGGCAAACUGGUAAAGAAUAAAUGAGCACAUGAUAUUCCUUAGUGAGGAUAGUAUUAGGCAUAAUCAAUCUACUUCUAAUAAAGUUUUUGGGGGAUUCAUACUUCAUUGAGAAUAAGUUCAACUACAAACAGGUAAUCUCCAAUUCAUAGAAGGUGGAAAUCAAGAGAACAUGAGAUGUCAUUGAAGAUAAAGUAUAAAAACAUAGCAUAGGGUCAUCCGACUAUAUACCUAACUUGUGAUAGAGAAAUGUUUCAUCCCCUGUGGCUGAAAAGGUCCUCUCAUUACUUAUACUUUUCCUCAAUCUGGCUUCAGGAGUAUCUGUCCUCCCAAUGGCAAGUCCCACAGAAAGGAAAAAAUCUGCAAUGGAAGGGCAGACAAUGAGCUACAAUCAUAUGAUAUGCACAGGAACUACUUUGGAUUUUUUAAGGUGAGGCCAUGAAGAGAUAGGAAGGAAUGAGGUACGAUAUUAUAUAAGCAAAGGGUCUAAGGUUAGUGAGUACAAGAUAUUUAGACAAGUUUUUAUAUAUAUUAAUAUAUAAUUAUAAAAAGAUGAACAGUAUAAUGAAAUGACAACCUGCCGUAGAAUGAGAAAAGAGAGCACAGAUAUAACUGCUCUUUUGCAGAAUCUCCUCGCAAGUACUAAUUCCAAGAGCAUCCCUUAAAAUAUAUUCAGUGACUUUUCCAAUCCCCCCAAUCUGUACCACAUAUUGCAUUCAGCAUCUUGAUCAAAAUGCACAUUAUAUAACGAGCUUUAACAAAUACAAACAUUAUAUUCUGGAAAACAUAAUUGUUCAAGAGAAGAUUGCAGUGGUACUUUGUAUGCUGCAAUGAUGCAUAAAAGUUAGAUAUACCUUACGUACAGGAAGUGAUGAUAUAAAUGUCAUCACAGCCAUUCGAUUGCUUGGUAAAAUAAACUGUCCAUUUGGCUUGUUUAUAUCUGAGCAAACCUGAGGAAUGAAAAGUGAAGAGUUUUCCCAUCAGAUAGUCUCAAAAAUCAAAUUUUGUGCUGAUAGUUUUAGCCCAGAAAAAGUACUGAAAAUGUCUAACCCCUAAACAUGAUAAGUAUAGAAAGAAGUUCCGUAUCAGUGGUAGACAAGUAAAGUGAUAUGAUAACAUAGAUCAAAGAAAUUGACAGCUGCAUAUGCUUUACUUUUUUGUCAAUAGUACCCUUUUCUUUGCAGACAUCAGUUACCAGAAGCAAACUCUAACCUUUUCAUAUGCAUGAAAUUUAUUGGCCCCUAUUAAUAGGGACCUCAGCUUGAAUUGAAGUCAUAUACUCAAGUGGACAAAGAGACGACUUGCCACACCUUAUUUAUCAGUAAAGUGAGCUGAAACAGUAAGCCACAUUGAUCAUAUGCUGAUGCAUAUGAAGGUAACAUCAUUCAAGAGUUCUUUCAGAUUACCUUAGCAAGUAGACGGUUUGGUGCUACUCCAGCGCUACAUGUUAGACCAGUCUCUUCAUAAACACCAUCUCUGAGUUCUUUGGCAAUCUUCAUGAAGGAAAAGUUGCAAAUGAGAUUUUAACACUAAACACUACAGGAGGAAAUAAGAAUCCAAGUAAAGUAUAAGCAAUGUGAUAUCACAUGUUGAAGCCCUAUACACUCACUUCUUCCCCAGUAGUGUCCCUUUCUUUGCAAACCUCAGUAACAUCAAGGUACGCUUCGUCUAAGCUUGCAGCCAGGAAGUUAGGAUCAUACUUCCGAAACACUAAAAAAAACAGCAUGUUACGAUUAGAGAUACACACUUAACAUAAAGAAUAAUCACUAAAGAUCUGCAUUUGAGAACUCAAGACCUACCAUUUCUAGUUAAAUCACUGUAAUGAGUGUACUUCUUGAAAUCCGUUGGAACAAAAAUUAACUCCGGACAUAACUUACGAGCAAUGAAGCCAGGCAUUGCAGCUCGAACCCCAAAUCUCCUUGCCUACAAAGUGACCAGACCACAUAAGACAACAGCUUCCGAUACGAAAUCCAAUUGUGAUGCCACAUACAAAAGUACUUGUACCUCAUAAUUAGCAGUUGAGAUCAUGGACAUACCCCCAACCGCCAUUGGCUUGCCCUUCAAUGACGGCUCACGUAAAGUCUCGACAGCUGCAUAGAAAGCAUCCAUAUCCACAUGUAUCCAAACCCUCGACAGGUCACGCAUUGCUUCCAACUCUGUAAUUCUCCUAUCAGCAACCUACAAAGACACCAACUUCUACCAUAAAUAAAAACCAAUCCCAAUCUUACUAAUCAGAGAACAAAAAAAAAAAAAAGACCGGCAUUGAAUCUACCUUCUGAUAGUGAGCCAAAUCAGCGGCGGUGAGCUUCGCACACCGAGCACGCAUGUUGUCUAUCUUCUCCUUAAUAAAAGCCUCCUUGCGCUCCUCGUUCUUGAAAUACUGCGAUCCUUUACUCAUUUCAUACACUACUCUCUGAACCUUCUCCUUAUCCACGCCUUCCAUACCUAACAAUUUCGAAUUACAAUACAACAAGACUCGAUUACGGAUCAACCAGAAAAGUGAAUUGGAUUCAAAUUCUACGAAUUCGAUUUAUCAAACCCUAAUAUUUAAAGGUAGACAUUUUCAAACGAUUUUUGGUUGUGAUAGUGGAGCCCCGUACCGGCUUUGGCAUUGGUGUAGACGGUGUUGUAGGACUGCCACGGCCGAGCAGCGUCGCCGGCGGUUUCUGAGUUGGCCAUGGUGGAAUCUUUUUCGCUCCAAAAAUCUGAACUUCGGAAGAAGAAGAAGAAGAGGGAAUGAGAGAAUUGGGGUUGUGGAGCAACACUAUAAAAUUGGGCUGGCCCAAUGAAUGGCAUUACUUGAAAUUAGAAAUUCUUCUUUUGCAAAUACGAAGUGUGUUUAAAUUUAAGAAUAUUAUUGCCACAACUUAUUUGUGCCUUUUCUGUUUGGUUGGAGCUCUGAAGAACUGAUUAGACUGCUUUGGUGGGGGAAACGCUUUUGAAACUGAUGAGGCUCGGGAGACAUGUAGCAACACUAGAAAUGGUCUGAUUAGACAUUCUCUCACCCGUAUUUUUAAAUGCUUCAACUGGAUUUAUAAAAAUAAAUCAUAAUAAAAAUCACAAUUUCAGUAGUGACGGUCUAAAAUUAUUGCUAUGGAUCUUAAACUUUCAUUAGUCUUAGCUGAGUUUCUAGCAUUGUGCCGAGAGAUGAUCGAAGAGACAUCAACACAUGUUAUAUGCAGUCGUCCAAUGCAGGCUUAGCCUCCACUUUCUUGUUAUAUUCCUCGUCCAUUAACUUGUACUUCUCCGCUUCCUUGAUCAUCUUCUCAAUUUGCACUUUAGAUAACCCUUCUUUAUAAUCGGAAAUUACGAUCUUGUUCUUAAUACGAAGUCGUUUUUCCUCAACAGAGACAAUUAAAAUUCCAUUGGCAUCAAUCUCGAAACAAACAAUGAUUUGAGGUUUCCCUAUCGGACCACGAGGAAUUCCAUGGAGCUCAAAAUAACCCAACAAUUUGUUUUUUUGGGCUAUUGUUUCUUCGCCCUCAUACACAGGAAGUAUCAAAAAUGAUUGGUUUGUAUAUCUAGUUGUGGCAACUUGAGUUUUCUUGGUGGGAAUGGUACUAUUUUUUUGGAUGAAAACACCAAAUUCCCUACUCUCAAGCUCUAAACCAAGUGAACGUGGAAUUACAUCCAACAAGAGUAAGUCCUGCACUUUCUCAAUACCACCUCGCAAAACUGCGGCUUGUACGGCAGCACCAUAUGCAACUGCUUCAUCAGGAUUGAUGCUCUUGCAAAGCUCCUUGCCAUCAAAUAAAUCUUGCAACAGUUGUUGUAUCUUGGGAAUUCUACUAGAUCCACCAACAAGAACAAUAUCGUGAAUAAUAUUCCUAUCCAGUUUGGCAUCGGUCACACAGUCCUUCACAAUCUUCAUACAUUUUUCAAAGAGAUCCAUGUUAAGCUCUUCAAAUUUCGCUCUCGUUAUUUUAGAGUGGAAGUCAAUACCCUCAAAUAAAGAAUCAAUCUCAAUGGUGGUUUCAACAGUUGAAGAAAGAACCUGUUUUGCUCACUCACAAGCUGUUCUCAGUUUUCUCAUUGCUUUGAAGUCAUGUCUGAUGUCCUUCUUAUGUUUCUUCUGGAACUCUAGCAAAAAAUGGCUCACAAUUUUAUUGUCAAAAUCUUCACCCCCAAGAUGUGUAUCUCCCGCAGUAGCUUUUACCUCAAAAACUUCGUCUUCAAUUUUAAGUACGGAAACAUCGAAGGUACCACCACCGAGAUCAAAGAUGAGAACAUUAUUACCACCAAUAGUCGUGGCCUUUUUUUCAAGACCGUAUGCAAUAACUGCGGCUGUUGGUUCGUUAAGGAUACGCAUCACAUUCAUCCCUGCUAUCACACUGGCAUCUUUUGUAGCCUGUCGUUGAAAGUUAUUAAAAUAUGCUAGGACUGUUAUAACAACAUCAUUGACUAUCAUUCCAAGGUAGGCCUCUGGAAUUUCACGCAUCUUACUCAAAACCAUUGAAGAUAUCUCCUUCUGCGGCAAAUUGCUUCUCUUCAUUUUUGUAGUUUAUCACAAUCGUAGGCUUGUCACCCACACCACGAACCUUGAAAGGCCAUAAUUUAUCACUCUUGACACAUGCAUCACUGAAUUUCAUGCCAAUCAAUCGCUUCACAUCUUAAAGAUUGUAAACAAGAGCAUAUUACAUUGGACUCGGAUCCUCUCCUCAUAGUUGUCUGCUAAUAUUGCCUCAUAAAUGAAUCUGGACCAUACAAUCGUAAUGGAUGGCCAGAAUUUCUCUUUCAUUCAUUUCGUCUAUCCCUUCUCUUAAGCAAAUUCUCGUCGAGAUUUCUCAUCUCUCUCUCUCUUGGCAAACUCAUAACUAAAAAAAAAAAAUUAAAAAAUAAAUUGGUCGCAUAAUUCCUACUGCAUAUAAUCAUGUACUAGUAUAUACUACUAUGCACUUGCAUAUGGAGAAGAACAAUAGCCCUUCAAAAUGGUCAAAGCCAAAGCCAAACUAGGUUUCGUUAUCAACUUAUCAUGACUUCAAAUUCAAAAACCCAUACCCAACACUACUAGAACCAGUCCUUCUCACAAAGCAUAAACCCAGUAAACAAUUGAGCAAAGAUCAUGGCGUUUGGACCAGUCCAUCUCACAAAGCAUAAACCCAGUAAACAAGCAAAGAUCAUAGCGCUUUCCAAUCGUUGAAGACAAAGACGAAGACCCACCAGCACAAUCUUCUUGCUUCAUCGA